AUGUGUGAUAUUAGAGGAGGUAAAGGGAAUGAGUGAGUUCCCUGUGUCACUGCAAAGGAAGAGAAGCGGAAGAUUAGUAAAGAUGACCAAAAUCCUUCCUGCCUACAGUAAAUAUGCAUUUGGAACAGAGUUAUGCUUUGCUCAGGGAGUAUUCUCCAGUGCUUUUCUGGCUUGAGCUAUGCUUGAAGGUUUUGCCAGCAUAAGUAUGUCAAACAAGAGUGAAAAAUCUUUUCCUUGUCAAGUGCAUCUUUGCUAGAAAAUAACAGUAUUAUCUGAACUGAUUUAGCAUCUGUAUUUUUCCAUGAGGAUACUGGGC